rnacentral:lncRNA from 1 species
GCCGUGGUGACGCUCCCGCGGUAGCAGCGCGGUGCGCGGCUCUCGUCCUGCCCCUGGAGCUCCGCGCCGUCCGCUGCUGGCGGCUGCGGGAUUUCAGGGCGGAGAGGCGGCCGGUCUCCAGAGGCGGCCAGAAAAGAGGAGGCUCAGUGAGGAACUUGACUGAACAGCAGAUAAGACGCUGUGGGAAGUAGAAUGUCAGAAGAUAUUAAGAGAAUUGAAAAAGAAAUAGAAAUUGAAUUAGGCAGAAUCAGUGUUUCUUCAUUUGGAACAGAUGAUCCUGACACAGAGGAAUCAGAGGAACCCUUGAGUGACAGUGAGACAAUUUCAGGUGACUUACCAGAAUCAGUUCUUGCCUAUUUAAACUUUAUCAAGAGCAGCAAUCAAGAUGCUGAAAAGCUUAUACUGCAGGACUUGGAAGAU